rnacentral:rRNA from 1 species
GAUGAACGCUGGCGGCGUGCCUAAUACAUGCAAGUCGAGCGAACGGACGAGAAGCUUGCUUCUCUGAUGUUAGCGGCGGACGGGUGAGUAACACGUGGAUAACCUACCUAUAAGACUGGGAUAACUUCGGGAAACCGGAGCUAAUACCGGAUAAUAUUUUGAACCGCAUGGUUCAAAAGUGAAAGACGGUCUUGCUGUCACUUAUAGAUGGAUCCGCGCUGCAUUAGCUAGUUGGUAAGGUAACGGCUUACCAAGGCAACGAUACAUAGCCGACCUGAGAGGGUGAUCGGCCACACUGGAACUGAGACACGGUCCAGACUCCUACGGGAGGCAGCAGUAGGGAAUCUUCCGCAAUGGGCGAAAGCCUGACGGAGCAACGCCGCGUGAGUGAUGAAGGUCUUCGGAUCGUAAAACUCUGUUAUUAGGGAAGAACAUAUGUGUAAGUAACUGUGCACGUCUUGACGGUACCUAAUCAGAAAGCCACGGCUAACUACGUG